GGUGACGAUAGCAGAGAGGUCCCACCUGUUCUCAUACCGAACACAGAAGUUAAGCUCUCUUACGCCGACAGUACUUUGGGUUUUUCCCCACGGAAGGUUAGGUAGUUGCC
rnacentral:rRNA from 1 species